rnacentral:rRNA from 1 species
UACGAAGGGGGCUAGCGUUGCUCGGAAUCACUGGGCGUAAAGGGCGCGUAGGCGGUCUUUUAAGUCGGGGGUGAAAGCCUGUGGCUCAACCACAGAAUUGCCUUCGAUACUGGGAGACUUGAGACCGGAAGAGGACAGCGGAACUGCGAGUGUAGAGGUGAAAUUCGUAGAUAUUCGCAAGAACACCAGUGGCGAAGGCGGCUCACUGGCCCGAUACUGACGCUGAGGCACGAAAGCGUGGGGAGCAAACAGG